GUCUACUUUCAAUAAAAUAUCUAAGUAUGAAGCAGAAGUGGACGACUCUGUGGUGUCCUUUAUUUCGAGCUCACAGGGAUAUAUCAAAUCGACAUAUGAAUGAAAGCUAUCAUUGUUAAUAGACAAAACGUCAUCAAUAUAUCUAAAAGUCGAAUUGAAGGUCACAGCGAGAGAUUUUUUCUUCUCACGUAGAAGUUUUUGAAUAAAUUCUGCUUCAUAUGAAUAUAAAAACAGGUCAGCUAACAAAGGAGCACAAUUCGUGCCCAAGGGAAUUCCAACAGACUGUUGGAAGACCUGAUCACCAAAGACCACGAAGAUAUUGUCAAUGAGGAACUCUAGCAUAUUUUUUAUUUCAACUUCAGAGUACUUGUGCGUGGAAUCAGAGUGGUGUUUAACAAAUGUACUUUUUGGGGACUUUGAGUGAUUCACCACCCUUUGAACAAAUGUAUUUUGAGAUCCUCAAAGGAAUCCUAGAUUUUCAAGAAGCCAUAUAUGUUUUAAUUGCUGCCCAUCAAAUAGUACAGUGUCUUUGUGUAAAUUAAAUUUAUUUUGAGGAAAUAGCUGGUGUGCAGUGCACAUUCCUAAAUGAAUUCAUCAGUUUACAUUAAGGAUCUACCUUCAAAUCCUGUAAUCUGGGAUGCUCUAAAGUGCAUGUCACGGACUAAAGUUAUAAAAAUAACUUCCAAUUGCAAGA